GGGAAGGAACAUAUCUCCUCUGUACACAGCCCAGGGCACUCAGACAGCUCCAGGAAGGGAGCAGGAGAGCGAGGGCUGCUGAUUUGGAUGCUGGCUAAGAACAGCAAGGUUGACGGAGCCCUUGGGGAAAUUCCCAUUGAUAAUGUCAAGACACUAAACACUGAUCUGUUGCCCAACAUCCAUUUUCUGCCCUUGUGGCUUCAACAGAAGUUUUUUACUUGAACAUUGGUUGGAACAUGGUCAUUUUGAUGUAAAAUCCUACGUGGCAACUCUGAGAAGGGAUCACUGCAGAUGCUUCACAGUUCACCUUUCUUUGGUAUUAUCCACAUAUCCAGUAUAUCAGUGUCCAAGCAUAUGAUGUCUGCUUCCAUACCAGACAGAAUGGCAGCCUUCUCUGCAGAGAAUCCCUCCACUCUGGAACGGACGAUUUCAAGUGUCAUCUUUGGCUCAGGCCUUUGCAAGGGCCAUUUAUAUGGACGUCUAUGUCUUCUGUUACAGUCUUGAUGUGUGUUUUCAUAUUUGGUCUCCCCCAUAAUCAGUUGCAAAGGGAGAUUAGCAGCUGCAUUCUGGGCUUAAGUGAUGGAUAGGGCCUUAUACGGAGAGUGCAGGUGAGAUGGGAUGAGGGUCAUUCACCAUGCCUUAACAAUGAGGGGUGGGAAGUUAAACUCUUUUGAAAAUCUGGUCACUUAUUUAAGUGCUGAAAUGGGACCCACUGGGUCCUCACAUCUUUUCAAAGUCUGGCCCAACAUUUCCCCUGCAUUAACCUCUCUAUCCCCGUCUCAGUUCGUGAUCACCCAUGUGCCCACUGACGUAGGCAUCACCAAAAAAGCGUUUCGGUUGCCAUGGCUGCUCAAUGAUAGUAACUCACCUAUUGUCCUUCUGCACAGUAAUUUUGUCUCCUUCUGGUAUUAGCUUCUUCUGCUCUGUCACGCCGUAGCUUUCUCUACAUAUCUAUGUUUAAAAAAAAAUAAAAAAGUUGUUUUCCCAUUGUGUGUGUCACCAUACAAGCUUGCAGGAUGGGUGCAGGGUUCUUUUACUCGCUCCAGGUAAAGUGCAUAGCUACUGACACACAAAGGGCUAGGGAAGGAGGCUGGGAAAACAGAUAUGAUGAGUUAGAGAAAAAAAAUACACAGACACCCUUCUCUGCUUGCAUCAUUUUUCAUACUCAACAUUUGCUCUUAGAUCAUGAUUUGCAAUCAAAGCCAAAUGCAAACCUAAAAGAGAACCAAGCCACCCUAUUCAGUCAACCGCAUGCUGAAA